GAAGGGUGGCCGAGUGGUUGAAGGCACUGGUCUUGAAAACCAGAGAACGCAAGUUCCGCAGGUUCGAAUCCUGUCCCUUC
rnacentral:tRNA from 1 species